CUUGGACAGAUCUCUUGGAGACAGUGCAGGGGUCUUCACCAUGAGAGUGGCUAAUGGGAUGUUCCCUUGAUCAUGUGUAGACAGAACUCUUUGAGCAGCUAUAUUGUGGCUCCAGCGGCCAGUACCAGCUGCAUCAGAGGAAGGUGCAAAACACCUGUGCAGUGAGCAGCUGGAGGGAGGUUCUUCCGAACUCCCAUUAGUAAGAGAUUAUCUUAUGUCCUGAGGUAUAUUUCACUCCAAACUGAAAACCACUGCCCUCCAGGCUCUCUCGUGCACUCAGACCCUGAGCAGCACGCCCUUUGGCUUUUAAACCAGGCCAGCAGAGUGGUGAGCUGGUGUCUUAAUAUUUCUGCAGGAAUUUUUAAAGUAAUAAAAAGCUGCUGCUUCGUG